rnacentral:sRNA from 1 species
GCCAGGUGUGGUGGCGCAUGCCUGUAAUCCCAGCAGUUUGAGAGGCUGAGGCAGGAGGAUUGCAAGUUCAAAGCCAGCUUCAGCAAUUUAGGGAGGCCUUAGGCAACUUAGCAAGACCCUAUCUUAA